CCAUUCUUGUUCGAUGCUAUUUCGUUUUGUUGUCUUUCUCAUAUCCUUUUGUAUCUUCUUUGUGACAACGUCCCAUGCCCAAGUAGUCCACCGACGGCUCUGGCCGUGGCCAUCAAUACCUUGGCCAUCAAUGCCUUGGCCGUAUCCAUGGCCAAUGGAACCACCAGAACCUGGCCCACCACCAGGCCCAUCACCAAAUCCUGGUCCACCAUCUGGCCCAUCUCCACGCCCACCAAUACCACCUAAGCCGCAACCAAAGCCAUCACCAGCGCCUGGUCCAUCGGCAUGUCCACCAAUACCACCUAAGCCUCAACCAAAACCACCACCAGCCCCUGGUCCAUCUCAAUGCCCACCACCUAAGCCGCAACCAAAGCCACCACCACCGCCUGGUCCAUCGGCAUGUCCACCCACGCCUCAACCAAAGCCACCACCACCGCCUGGN
rnacentral:lncRNA from 1 species